UAGCUAUGAAGAAGCUGAAGAAGAAGAUGAUGAUAUAGGUUUAAUCCCGGACCAUGUCAUCCCCCGGUUCCGGGAAUAUAUAAGCUUGUAAUGAAUAUGGUGAAGUUUUUGGGACGUACUAGAGAGUCUGCCCCCCUGCAAGGAAAGCUUCUCCAGUUGGUCUCUCUCUCUCUGUUUCUGCAUGGUCAAAAAUUGUCUUGUCGCUCUGUUGAAUCUGCUGUUUUCAUGAAUGGAACGUUGUUUGAUUAAUGGAUAUUUUGUGUCAAGUUGCAUUAUAAGCUGGUGAGACUGUCAAUAUCUGAUCUAACAGAACUGUAUGUGAUGCCAUAAGUAAGUCUCACGUAAACCUUUCAGGUAUUGGCACCAACUUGGAUGGCAAGAAAUGCUUAAUUGUGCAGCUGAUGGAAUCCUUUUGUCAGAAGGUUCAACGCACUUGAAUUGUAUAUAGCAGCAAGUUGGCAUAAUGCGAGAUCCUGGAUUCUGUUGCCCGAUCCACACGGUUUCUACUCUUCGUUUGUGUACAAGGAGUAGAGCUGUCAAGAGCUGACUGUAUACGUCAAUGCCAACUCUACUCAUGAUUCUUUACUCAUUACGAAUAGUCAAUGAUGUGUAACCUACUCGACAUUCAAGAUGAUUGACUGUGAUUUGAAUUGACAUUUGACAUGUAUGAUCAAUGACCAUGUAAUCUCGUAGACUUUACUCCAUUUUACGGUUCGGUUUGAGAUGUGGAAUAUUCGGC
rnacentral:lncRNA from 1 species